rnacentral:lncRNA from 1 species
UUCGAUGAGAUUGAAAUUUUGUGGUGGCUGGAUGAGAAUUAAUGGGUCAAUUUUGGUGGGAUUUGAUAGUUAGUAGGGUAGUGGGGAGUUGGGAUAUUAUUUUGAAUUAUUUUUAUUUUUAUUUUUUCCCCAAAAUCCCCUUUCUUACUGAUGUUUCUUCCUUUUCUUUUCUCUGCAACUCUCUUUCUUUUUCUUCCUUCAAUUAUGUUCACAAAUCAUUUGUUCUAAUCACUGCGAUUUGGAUUUCAAAUUUUCUUCAUUCGGCUUGGUAAGUGGGGCG